GACUAACGCUGGCGGCGUGCCUAACACAUGCAAGUCGAACGGGGAAGCAGAGCUUGCUCUGUGGAUCAGUGGCGAACGGGUGAGUAAUACGUGAGCAACCUGCCCCGGACUCUGGGAUAAGCGCUGGAAACGGCGUCUAAUACCGGAUACGAGAUUCCACCGCAUGGUGAGUUUCUGGAAAGAUUUUUUGGUCUGGGAUGGGCUCACGGCCUAUCAGCUUGUUGGUGAGGUAAUGGCUCACCAAGGCGUCGACGGGUAGCCGGCCUGAGAGGGUGACCGGCCACACUGGGACUGAGACACGGCGCAGACUCCUACGGGAGGCAGCAGUGGGGAAUAUUGCACAAUGGGCGGAAGCCUGAUGCAGCAACGCCGCGUGAGGGAUGACGGCCUUCGGGUUGUAAACCUCUUUUAGCAGGGAAGAAGCGAAAGUGACGGUACCUGCAGAAAAAGCGCCGGCUAACUACGUGCCAGCAGCCGCGGUAACAC
rnacentral:rRNA from 1 species